UACAGAGGUCUCGAGCGUUAGGCGGAAUCACUGGGCUUAAAGCGUGUGUAGGUGGAUCGUUAAGUACCUUGUGAAAUCCCACGGCUUAACCGUGGAACUGCUUGGUAUACUGGCGGUCUUGAGUCAGCUAGGGGCUACCGGAACAAAUGGUGGAGCGGUGAAAUGCGUAGAUCUACGAAGGAACGCCAAAAGCGAAGGCAGCUCUCUGGGUCCCUACCGACGCUGGGGUGCGAAAGCAUGGGGAGCGAACAGG
rnacentral:rRNA from 1 species